CACAUGCAAGUCGAGCGGCAGCGGGAAAGUAGCUUGCUACUUUGCCGGCGAGCGGCGGACGGGUGAGUAAUGCCUGGGAAAUUGCCCAGUCGAGGGGGAUAACAGUUGGAAACGACUGCUAAUACCGCAUACGCCCUACGGGGGAAAGCAGGGGACCUUCGGGCCUUGCGCGAUUGGAUAUGCCCAGGUGGGAUUAGCUAGUUGGUGAGGUAAUGGCUCACCAAGGCGACGAUCCCUAGCUGGUCUGAGAGGAUGAUCAGCCACACUGGAACUGAGACACGGUCCAGACUCCUACGGGAGGCAGCAGUGGGGAAUAUUGCACAAUGGGGGAAACCCUGAUGCAGCCAUGCCGCGUGUGUGAAGAAGGCCUUCGGGUUGUAAAGCACUUUCAGCGAGGAGGAAAGGUCAGUAGCUAAUAYCUGCUGGCUGUGACGUUACUCGCAGAAGAAGCA
rnacentral:rRNA from 1 species